rnacentral:rRNA from 1 species
GACGAACCGUGCAAACGUUAUUCGGAAUCACUGGGCUUAAAGGGCGCGUAGGCGGGCUGUCAAGUCAGAGGUGAAAUCCCACAGCUUAACUGUGGAAGUGCCCCUGAUACUGACGGCCUCGAGGGAGGUAGGGGCGUGUGGAACUUCCGGUGGAGCGGUGAAAUGCGUAGAUACCGGGAGGAACACCUGUGGCGAAAGCGGCUCACUGGACCACAACUGACGCUGAGGCGCGAAGGCUAGGGGAGCGAACGGG